GGGGGUGUAGCUCAGUGGUAGAGUGACUGCCUGACAAAUCAGAAGCCCUGGAUUCCAUCCCUAGUACCUCCA
rnacentral:tRNA from 1 species